UACGUAGGGUGCAAGCGUUGCUCGGAAUUACUGGGCGUAAAGCGUGCGUAGGCGGUUUGUUAAGUCCGUUGUGAAAGUCCUGGGCUCAACCUGGGAAUUGCAGUGGAUACUGGCGAGCUAGAGUGCGGUAGAGGAUGGUGGAAUUCCCGGUGUAGCGGUGAAAUGCGUAGAGAUCGGGAGGAACACCCGUUGCGAAGGCGGCCAGCUGGACCAGCACUGACGCUGAGGCACGAAAGCGUGGGGAGCAAACAGG
rnacentral:rRNA from 1 species